GCCUUCAUGGUGUAGCGGUCAGCACGCUCGACUUGUAUUCGAGAGGUCCGUGGUUCGAGUCCCGGCGAGGGCA
rnacentral:tRNA from 1 species